AUUGAACGCUGGCGGCAGGCCUAACACAUGCAAGUCGAGCGAGCGGCGGACGGGUGAGUAAUGUAUGGGGACUGCCCGAUAGAGGGGGAUAACUACUGGAAACGGUGGCUAAUACUGCAUACUAUCGGAUAACCCAUAGUGGAUUAGCGAGUAGGGGGGGUAAAGGCUCACCUAGGCGACGAUCUCUAGCUGGUCUGAGAGGAUGAUCGGCCACACGGGGACUGAGACACGGCCCAGACUCCUACGGAGGCAGCAGUGGGGAAUAUUUGACAAUGGGCGAAAGCCUGAUGCAGCCAGGCCGCGUGUAUGAAGAAGGCCUUAGGAUUGUAAAGUACUUUCGGCGGGGAGGCGUUACCCGCAGAAGAAGCACCGGCUAACUCCGUGCCAGCAGCCGCGGUAAUAC
rnacentral:rRNA from 1 species